rnacentral:rRNA from 1 species
UUUCCUACGGGGCGCAGCAGUGGGGGAUAUUGCACAAUGGGGGGAACCCUGAUGCAGCGACGCCGCGUGGGUGAAGAAGCGCCUCGGCGCGUAAAGCCCUGUCAGCAGGGAAGAAAAUGACGGUACCUGAAGAAGAAGCCCCGGCUAACUACGUGCCAGCAGCCGCGGUAAUACGUAGGGGGCAAGCGUUAUCCGGAUUUACUGGGUGUAAAGGGGGCGCAGACGGAGAUGCAAGCCAGGAGUGAAAGACCGGGGCGAACCCCGGGACUGCUAUUGGAACUGCGUGGAUGGGGUGCAGGAGGGGG